rnacentral:rRNA from 1 species
AAGCUCGUAGUUGAAUUUCGGGAUUGACGUGACGGUCGUGCCUUAAGGGUAUGAACUGUCGCAGUUGAUUUCUCACCUUCUGGAGAAGCUUGAUGUCCUUAAUUGGGUGUCAUGUGGAACCAGGACCUUUACCUUGAAAAAAUUAGAGUGUUUAAAGCAAGCGUACGCUUGAAUACAUUAGCAUGGAAUAAUGAAAUAGGGCUUCAGUUCUAUUUUGUUGGUUUUCAGAUCCGAAGCAAUGAUUAAUAGGGUAGUUGGG